GGAACAGACACAUUUAGAACAGCCUGGUUUAUAGAGGCACAGCCUGGUUUAUAGAGGAACAGACACAUUUAGAACAGCCUGGUUUAUAGAGGAACAGACACAUUUAGAACAGUCUGGUUUAUAGAGGAACAGACACAUUUAGAACAGCCUGGUUUAUAGAGGAACAGACACAUUUAGAACAGCCUGGUUUAUAGAGGAACAGCCUGGUUUAUAGAGGCACAGACACAUUUAGAACAGCCUGGUUUAUAGAGGCACCGACACAUUUAGAACAGCCUGGUUUAUAGAGGAACAGCCUGGUUUAUAGAGGCACCGACACAUUUAGAACAGCCUGGUUUAUAGAGGAACAGCCUGGUUUAUAGAGGAACAGCCUGGUUUAUAGAGGAACAGCCUGGUUUAUUGAGGAACAGACACAUUUAGAACAGUCUGGUUUAUAGAGGAACAGACACAUUUAGAACAGCCUGGUUUAUAGAGGAACAGCCUGGUUUAUAGAGGAACAGACACAUUUAGAACAGUCUGGUUUAUAGAGGAACAGACACAUUUAGAACAGACUGGUUUAUAGAGGAACAGCCUGGUUUAUAGAGGAACAGACACAUUUAGAACAGUCUGGUUUAUAGAGGAACAGCCUGGUUUAUAGAGGAACAGACACAUUUAAUAACAGCCUGGUUUAUAGAGGAACAGACACAUUUAGAACAGCCUGGUUUAUAGAGGAACAGCCUGGUUUAUAGAGGAACCGACACAUUUAAUAACAGCCUGGUUUAUAGAGGAACAGACACAUUUAGAACAGUCUGGUUUAUAGAGGAACAGACACAUUUAGAACAGACUGGUUUAUAGAAGAACAGCCUGGUUUAUAGAGGAACAGACACAUUUAAUAACAGCCUGGAUUAUAGAGGAACAAACACAUUUAGAACAGUCUGGUUUAUAGAGGAACAGCCUGGUUUAUAGAGGAACAGACUCAUUUAGAACAGCCUGGUUUAUAGAGGAACAGACUCAUUUAGAACAGCCUGGUUUAUAGAGGAACAGACACAUUUAGAACAGUCUGGUUUAUAGAGGAACA
rnacentral:lncRNA from 1 species